CCUACGGGUGGCUGCAGUCGAGAAUCAUUCACAAUGGGGGAAACCCUGAUGGUGCGACGCCGCGUGGGGGCAUGAAGGUCUUCGGAUUGUAAACUGCUUUUAUAAGCGAGAAAUAUGAUGGUAACUUAUGAAUAAGGAUCUGCUAACUACGUGCCAGCAGACGCGGUCAUACGUAGGAUCCGAGCAUUAUCCGGAGUGACUGGGUGUAAAGAGUUGCGUAUGUGGCAUAAUAAGUAGCUAGUGAAAUCUGGUGGCUCAACCAUUCAGACUAUUAGCUAAACUGUUAAGCUCGAGACCGUUAGGGGUAACUGGAAUUUCUAGUGUAGGAGUGAAAUCCGUAGAUAUGAGAAGGAACACCAAUAGCGUAGGCAGGUUACUGGGACGGUUCUGACACUAAGGCACGAAAGCGUAGGGAGCAAACGGGAUUAGAUACCCCUGUAGUC
rnacentral:rRNA from 1 species